AGUAGCCACUUAGUCGAAAACACUGGCCAAAGUAAGCAUUCAUAUUUGUUUGUGUGUGAAAAAAGUAAAAAAACUAAAUUGAACGCUAAUUUUGGCCAGCGUUUGUGACCAAGUGGUUACUAAAAAAGACUGGACAUACCCCAUUUGCAAUACCUUGGGUUGUCUUCUUUUGCAAAUGGUAUGCCAUCAUGGGGGUAAUUCUCAUUCCUG